AAAAGAAACCAACAGGGAUUGCCCUAGUAACGGCGAGUGAAGCGGCAACAGCUCAAAUUUGAAAGCUGGCUCCGGCCCGCGUUGUAAUUUGCAGAGGAUGCUUCUGGCGAGGUGCCUUCCGAGUUCCCUGGAACGGGACGCCAUAGAGGGUGAGAGCCCCGUAUGGAUGGACACCAAACCUGUGUGAAGCUCCUUCAACGAGUCGAGUAGUUUGGGAAUGCUGCUCUAAAUGGGAGGUAAAUCUCUUCUAAAGCUAAAUACCGGCCAGAGACCGAUAGCGCACAAGUAGAGUGAUCGAAAGAUGAAAAGCACCUUGAAAAGGGGGUUAAACAGUACGUGAAAUUGUUGAAAGGGAAGCGCUUGUGACCAGACUUGCGCCGGGCAGCUCAUCAGGGGUUCUCCCCUGUGCACUCUGCCCGGCUCAGGCCAGCAUCGGUUCUCGUGGGAGGAUAAGAACGGUAGGAACGUGGCCCCCCUCCGGGGGGGUGUUAUAGCCUGCCGUACGAUACUCCCGUGGGGACCGAGGUUCGCGCUCCGCAAGGAUGCUGGCGUAAUGGUCAUCAGCGACCC
rnacentral:rRNA from 1 species